AUGAACGCUGACAGAAUGCUUAACACAUGCAAGUCGAUGGGGAAGUGGUGCUUGCACCAUGGUAACCAUGGCGGACGGGUGAGUAACGCGUAAUGAACUUACCUGCGGGACCGGGAUAAGAGCAGGAAACUGCUGACAAGACCGGAUAAGGUCAUUAAGCUGCAUAGCUUAGUGAUGAAAGGAUACGCCUGCGGAGAGCCUUGCGUCCUAUUAGCUAGUUGGAGGGGUAACGGCCCACCAAGGCGAAGAUAGGUAGCCGGCUUGAGAGGGUGGACGGCACAAAGGGGACUGAGAUACGGCACUUACUCAUACGGGAGGCAGCAGUGGGGAAUAUUGGAAAAUGGGGGCAACCCUGAUCAAGCCAUUCUGUGUGCACGAAGAUGGUUUUCGGAUUGUAAAGUGGUUUCAGCAGGGAAGAAGGAAGUGACGGUACCUGCAGAAGAAGCGACGGCUAAAUACGUG
rnacentral:rRNA from 1 species